UCCUCGGUAGUAUAGUGGUGAGUAUCCGCGUCUGUCCCAUGCGAGACGCGGGUUCAAUUCCCGGCCGGGGAG
rnacentral:tRNA from 1 species